GAUUGACCUCGGAUCAGGUAGGGAUACCCGCUGAACUUAAGCAUAUCAAUAAGCGGAGGAAAAGAAACCAACAGGGAUUGCCUCAGUAACGGCGAGUGAAGCGGCAACAGCUCAAAUUUGAAAUCUGACCCUCCCGGGGUCCGAGUUGUAAUUUGUAGAGGAUGCUUCGGGUUCGGUCGCGGCCUAAUUCGCUUGGAACAGCGGGUCAUAGAGGGUGAGAAUCCCGUCUGGGGCCGUGAGCCACGCCCGUGUGAAGCUCCUUCGACGAGUCGAGUUGUUUGGGAAUGCAGCUCUAAAUGGGUGGUAAAUUUCAUCUAAAGCUAAAUAUUGGCCGGAGACCGAUAGCGCACAAGUAGAGUGAUCGAAAGAUGAAAAGCACUUUGAAAAGAGAGUUAAACAGUAUGUGAAAUUGUUGAAAGGGAAGCGCUUGCGACCAGACUUGCACGUGGCGGCUCCCCCGGUCCUCUGGACCGGGCUAUUCCGCCACGUCCAGGCCAGCAUCGGUCUGGGCGGCCGGUUAAAGACCCCGGGAAUGUAUCUACCUUCGGGUCGACUUAUAGCCCGGGAUGCAAUGCAGCCCGCCCGGACCGAGGAACGCGCUGCGGCUCGGAUGCUGGCGUAAUGGUCGUAAGCGGCCCGUCUUGAAACACGGACCAAGGAGUCUAACAUCUAUGCGAGUGUUUGGGUGUCAAACCCCGGCGCGUAAUGAAAGUGAACGGAGGUGAGAACCCCUCCGGGGGCGCAUCAUCGACCGAUCCGGAUGUCUUCGGAUGGAUUUGAGUAAGAGCAUAGCUGUUGGGACCCGAAAGAUGGUGAACUAUGCCUGAAUAGGGUGAAGCCAGAGGAAACUCUGGUGGAGGCUCGCAGCGGUUCUGACGUGCAAAUCGAUCGUCAAAUUUGGGCAUAGGGGCGAAAGACUAAUCGAACCAUCUGGUAGCUGGUUCCUG
rnacentral:rRNA from 1 species